AGUAAGGGCUAUAAAUAUGUGCAGUUAUAGUCAGAUUUUCUCAGGGAGUCCAUUAAUCGCAGGUAUCUGAAAUUCCUCUCAUAUAUAUAUAUCACUGUGCUUCUAAAACACCCAAAAUUUCACUUUGUGGUAAAAUAGAUUUGGAUUAGAUUAUGGUUUGAAUGACCUCAAUAUCUUUCUGUCAUGUGUUGACUACUUCCAGUAAAAUUAUAGGUAGUGGAUACAUUUUAAUUUACACCAUGGCAAUAGAAUUAAGCAGAUUUUUGGUUAAUCUUCAUAGUGACUAACUAAAAAAGAAAGAUUCAGAUCUGAGUGAAUACUUAAAUCACAAUUAAUAAUUUAUUCAAUAAAUUGUUUGUGCAGAUUGCAGAAUUCUCUGAUUUAUUUGCUGUAGGAAGUUGCUCACAAAGUUCUUCAAUUAAUAAUUAAUUGUUUGAAGAUUGUUCAUAAAUACUUAGAAAUAGUUUGUGAGUUUCUGAUUUGCAAUUAAUAUUUUAUAAUUGUUAGUCUUUUUUAGCCUGCUGUCUGGUUGGACAAUCAGCUUUCCUGAUUAAUAAAUGUAACUUGUGAAUAUUGCAAUUCUGUAUUGAGGUAGGCAUAGAGAUGACUUUUUUAUUGUUUUGUUUGUUUGGUUUUUUUACUUAAAAUGUGGUAUUUUCAAUAUUUGAUCACUUGUGCCAUUCAUGUCCAGGAAUCAAAGUUUGGCUUUGAAUGCCUACUCAUACACUCAAUUUCCAUGUGUAUAUUACGCUGAGGAAGGAUGAUACAAAAGGUCAGUUAAAUCAAAACCCAAAAUGACAACAAAGGCAGCCAAAAAAAUUAGUAAAUCUCCUUUGCUGCAUUGAAAUGCAUAGUCAUGGACAGAUUCCCCCCACUUGCCACUGUCUAUUCAGGUCUACAAGAAUCAUAUUCAGGUCAGCAUAAAACUCUUUAAUUGUCAUUAAUUCACAGGUUGAUAACAAAGGUGACUGAGGUUUUGCUCAAUGCUUAAAAAUGAAAGUGUAAUUGGUAACACUUUGGUUUUUUGGUGACCUUUAUGUGUCUGGAGAUGAAAAUCUGGCAUCACCGAAGAUAACAGCAAUCAUCAUGAUUUUUGGGUUCCUCUUGGGUGCAAGAGUAAGGACUGAUUAUCAAAGUCAUGUAAUAGCUAAAUUUAUGUAACCUGCACAGCCUGGGUUCUGAGAAUCCAAAGUUUUUUACUCAAAUACUGAUUGAUACAAUUUUUUUUUUUAAUAUAUGCUUAAUGCCAAUACCUGACAAAACUUUGCCAAUGGGAGCUUGUGGAGUAGGAUUUCCUUUGUCUGUGACAGACCAAAUCUCCUGGGUCUUCGAAUGGGCCCCAAAAAGAUCUCAGUUCCAGUGGUGUUGAUCAGAAGCCAGAAUGUUUUCCUAAGAUUUAAUAGGAAGAAGAGGUGUAUUAAAAAUUGUCCUAGGUGUUUGGAAAAGAUCUCCAUGAAUUUGGGCAUAAGAGACUUCUCAAAAGAGUUCUGAUUAGCUUCCUACUAAACCAGAAGAAAGAUGUAGCAUCUUUUUUACAUCCAAAUUUUAAUCGCUCGUUGAAUACUAUUAAUUUUAGAUAAGAAUGACUUAACCUACUAAUGUCAAUCUUCUUUAUUUUGUCAAGAACUGAUUUAACUCACGUACUAAUUAUAUAAACAACUGUCCACUCUGGGCCAAAUUCCAUCCUUGACUGAAGGUGCAUUUGGGAUACAAUGGCCCAGAGCUGUUCAAUGUAAAUAUUCCUGCAAUUCUGAGCAUUACCUUUUUUUUUCUCCUGACUCUCCAUUGUAUUAUUUUUGGAAGGGAAUAAUGUCAAAAGCCUUUAAAAUGUAUAUAUAUUAUUUUAGUGAUUAUGUUAUCAAAACCCCUCUGGGAUAUCCUUGCCUCUCUCUCUUUAACACACUACUUCCCCAGGUCUCCCUCCCCCUGCUCUCUCUGGUGUUUUUUUCUGAGAAAGCAAAGUAAAAAUUAAAUAAUAGUUGACAUCAUUUGGUUGGACUUGUGCUCAGAUUCUCUCUAUUAUUCAUGUGAUCUUUCUUAUUAUUUUUCUUUUUCAUUCACUGUUAUAUUUUAUUUACUUUAAUGAGCUGGAUGCUGGGCUUCAGCCUGGGACUGGAGAGAGACCUGGCUUGCUUUCAAACUAUUGUUUCACUGUGGUUGAGAUUAACGUCAUCAGGAUUUUCCUCUCUGUUAUUUAUUAAAUCUUUUUCUUCCUCUCUCCCUUCCUGCCUCAUGUGUGAGGAGCACCUUGGUGAUGGUCAUGAAAUAGAAGAUGCAUACAAAUGAUGGACCAAAUUUGCUACUCAGGAAGCAACUCAAGAUGCUGCCCUAAAGUUUCUGCCUUCAAGAGAUACAGUUAAAGGGAAAAGCAUGCACGCCUGGUUGCUCUGAUCUGAAGGAGACGCUCUGCUCUGCUGGGAAGCAAUACUUCCGGGAGGACAGCAGCAGUUAUGUGGGCCCUGUUUUCCUGCCUGAAUCCUGCGGAGGAAGAAGUGUUCAUGUUCAUACGCUAUUCGUUGUUUCAAGAUUAUUUAAGAAACCACUGCUGUUGAGCUAGCAGGGGAUCUUUCCUUCAGUGACCUUUGCCAGAGCAAGCUGAUUGGUGUGCCCCAGCUGCAGGCCAUCAUUUUCUUGGGAAAGUUUUAAGAUUGUCAGAAAAAUGACCAUCGUCUUUCCUAGCCCUUAUUGACAUGGAUGGGCUUUGCUGGCCUUUCCAAAUCCAGUGUGGGAGGGGUUGUUUGUUUUCCUUUUAGAUGUUAUCCUGCCAUCCUCCUUUUUUUAACAAUGCUGUAUAUACAUGAAGACUUGCUGCGUAUUCAGUGUGGCGCAUGGAUGGAAUGGAUGCUUUGAACUGCUUUUGCAACAAUGGAUUCUGCUUGACUGAUAAUGAAACCAUGGGACAGACCUCAGGGAGUGGUAAAGAGACGAGGGAUCCUGAGGUCACUGUGUCAUGUGGGACACCAACUGAAUGUGCCAAAUAAUGUGAACAUGAGUCUGCUCACAAAUCACCUCUUUGACAAAAGUUUGGCUCUGCACCAAGAACCAUACUAGACACCAACGAGAAUGUAUAUAUAUAUAUAUAUAUAUACAUUGGUAUAACUGCACCCAAGAAAUAGAUGAUCAGGCGUUCCUGGAUGCUCCAGGAAUCUCUACAGAUGCUAAAGUGCAUUGUGUACAGUGGAAAACACAAAAAGUGUGCUGCAGCCCUUUGUCUCUUGCAGAUGUGAAGAGCUGGUUUAGGUCUGGCAUCCUCCAUAACCCCACAUUAGUACUUGCCUGUCUUAUCAGGUGCUGCGAUGAAAAACAUAUCUCUGAAUGUGUUUGAACCCCAGAGGAAGAAUUUUCAUGCAAGAAAGAGCUUACACCAAAGUAAUGAAGAAUUUGGCCCCUGGCACCAUUAUUUUCCUCGGCUCCCAUGGUGACAGAAGGGGGUGGAGGGAAGUAACCUAUCCCAUUUCUGUUUGAAAAUAUUUAGCUUGAGUGAUAUGAAGAUUUCAGUAGAUCUGUGACAAGAUCAAAGACUAUAAAUUAUUUAACAGUGGUUCUACUUUUGUGGAAUUAUUUAAAGUAUCAUAAUUGCAGCUCAGCUUCCCAGCCUUCAUUUUCAAGUCUGGAAUUCUGUUGGGAACUAUCAUAAUCACUGAAGAGUAUAAUAUUACAGGCUGGGUAUAAAAAUAUCUUUUUAAUGACUAGCAAAUUAGUGAAAUGUCUUGACCUAAAUCUAGACCAAACAGAAGACAGUGUUUUUAUGGAGGGGUAAGAAAGACUAAAUUGUCACCACAUUGUUAUUCUUGUUAAAUUCUCCACUACUUAAAAUGUCAGUUGAUUAGAUAAAAUUUGUAACACUGUGCAUCAAUGCAAGUGAUGAAGGGCUGUGUGUUACAUAGUAUCUUGGCAUUUCUGCACUUUUGUUUUCCUUUUAAUGGUAGCAUGUGCAUUCUGUGACUGAAACUUGGAAAAAUAAAGGCUAUUCAUUACUUUAGUACCCUGUGAACAAUAGAGAUCAUGAAAGGCAUCGCAGGGAACUCCUCUGUAUGUUGGCUGUUCAAGAAGCAAGAUGAGCCCUUGGAGGGUUUUCUCAUAGGCUUCAAGAAUUGUUGUGUGCAUGAUCUGCCUGGCUAAACUCUUUGUGUCUGACUUAAAUAAGAUCUAGAAGACACAAGAAUGUCUCACUCCAUACCAUGUGACUCAUAGUGUUAACCAAGUCUCUGUUAACACAGAAACAGGAAUUUAUUCUCCAAAUUCUGGUUUGCAAACGACUUAAGGAACCUGAGCCCUUGUGUUCCUGUGCGCAAUCAGUUUUCAGUGGCAAAAUCCUCAGUUUGAUGAAUUUUGACAAUAUACUGAAGAUACCAUGGAGAUCU